rnacentral:sRNA from 1 species
GCCCAGCAAUGGGCAACCGGCGAACGGGUGCGUAACACGUGAGCAAUCUGCCGAUGUCAGGGGGAUAGCCGGCCCAACGGCCGGGUAAUACCGCAUACGCUUGUUCCGGGGAGUCCCGGGAUGAGGAAACCUUCGGGGGACAUCGAGGAGCUCGCGGCCUAUCAGCUAGUUGGCGAGGUCAUGGCUCACCAAGGGGAAAGACGGGUAGCUGGUCUGAGAGGAUGGUCAGCCACACGGGUGAUUCGAGAUACGGCCGAGACUCCUACGGGAGGUCGGAGUGGGUGUUUCUAGAAGUCUCCUAGCAAAUAUCAG